CACCUUACCAGGUCUUGACAUCCUCUGACAAUCCUAGAGAUAGGACGUCCCCUUCGGGGGCAGAGUGACAGGUGGUGCAUGGUUGUCGUCAGCUCGUGUCGUGAGAUGUUGGGUUAAGUCCCGCAACGAGCGCAACCCUUGAUCUUAGUUGCCAGCAUUCAGUUGGGCACUCUAAGGUGACUGCCGGUGACAAACCGGAGGAAGGUGGGGAUGACGUCAAAUCAUCAUGCCCC
rnacentral:rRNA from 1 species